rnacentral:rRNA from 1 species
UACAGAGGGUGCAAGCGUUGUUCGGAAUUAUUGGGCGUAAAGCGCGUGUAGGCGGCUUAGCAAGUCGGGCGUGAAAGCCCUCGGCUCAACCGAGGAAGUGCACCCGAAACUGCUGAGCUUGAGUGCCGGAGAGGAUGGCGGAAUACCCCAAGUAGAGGUGAAAUUCGUAGAUAUGUGGAGGAACACCGAUGGCGAAGGCAGCCCCCUGGGUUAACACUGACGCUCAUGCACGAAAGCGUGGGGAGCAAACAGG